rnacentral:rRNA from 1 species
CCCUUAGGUGUUCUGGGCCGCACGCGCGCUACAAUGAUGAAUUCAACGAGUUUAUAACCUUGGUUGAAAAGCCUGGGUAAUCUUUUGAACUUUCGUCGUGAUGGGGCUAGACCCUUGCAAUUAUUGGUCUCCAACGAGGAAUUCCUAGUAAACGCAAGUCAUCAGCUUGCAUUGAUUACGUCCCUGCCCUUUGUACACACCGCCCGUCGCACCUACCGAUUGAAUGGUCCGGUGAAAUCUUCGGAUUGAGACUUUGAUUUCUUCACGGAAAACGCUGUUUUAAAAAGUUGAUUAAACCUUACCAUUUAGAGGAAGGUGAAGUCGUAACA